AGUGUGAUAGGGGAAUCCCUAGUGCUCAUACUAUGUAUGGGCUUUUGCCAAAGGUAAAUUCUUUGGCGAAUAAGUGAUGGGCAAGACCGGUGCCAGCAGCCGCGGUAAUACCGGCGUCACGAGUGGCAAUCGCGAUUAUUGGGUCUAAAGUGUUCGUAGCCGGUUUAGUAAAUCUUUUGUGAAAUUGUCAGGCUUAACUUGACAACGUGCAGGAGACACUGCUAAACUAGGGACCAGGAGGGGUCAGAAGUAUUUCAGGGGGAGCGGUAAAAUGUUAUAAUCCCUGAAGGACUACCAAUGGCGAAGGCAUCUGACCAGAAUGGAUCUGACGGUGAGGAACGAAGGCCAGGGGAGCGAACCGGAUUAGAUACCCGAGUAGUCCUGGCAGUAAACGCUGUGAGCUAGGUGUUGCAUAUUCUCCGUGAAUAUGCAGUGUCGAAAGGAAGCUGUUAAGCUCACCACCUG
rnacentral:rRNA from 1 species